CUUCUGUUACAGAGUAAAGCUUCCUCAUCUAUUUGUCUUCCUCUGAAAUUCCUUUGUUACUGCCCUUUCUUCUAGAACUACAAACACAAAUGCCUACGUCUUUUUGUUCCCCAGGAUUCCAAUCUUGGAGAUUUAAUCAAAUAACAAACUCCAAGGCUCCAUUUCUUUUCUAUCUGUGCAUGAGAACACACUCUUCUGGAGAACUUAAACUUUAGCCUUUAUAGAAAUAUUUUGCUAUGGUUAUUUAAAAACUGGAAAGUACAGUUAUAUUGGACUUUCCCUAAUCAAACACAAACCAGAGAUAUAAAAUGAAAUGGAACAUCAAGGAGGUGGAAAUAUGGGCACAGAAACAAAGAGGACAUCAGCAGAGUUUCACUUCCUCUUCAUCUUUAUUUAAAAUGAGAAAUAAUUAUCCUCUCAUUUCUUUUAAACUGUUGAAAGCAUAAAUGUAUUGCGCUAUACUGAUAAACGGGAGAAUCUGAUCUGUCAAGCAGCUGUGCUUGCUCUCUUUUUCAGUUUGCAUGUUUGAGUAUCUGGCAAAAUGUAAGUAAACAGUAAUGAAGAGAAAUCUGGCAAGCUGGGCUUUGGUCAUUCCCCAUUCCUUGGUGUAUAUAUGUUGCAUUUUGUAGGGGUUCAAGUUUCACUUCCACAUCUGUGAAGGAGGAUGUUAUAUCAGACAGCUUGUAAAGAAUAAUUUGAACAUAUCCUUUAAAACAGAAAAGCUGGGCUAAAAUUACUGUGUAUUUUGUACUGCAGAUGUGAGUAUAUCACUUCAGUCUUAUUUGAAUAUUCAGAUUCAUGUACAGUUUUCUGCUGAAUUUUGUACUGGACUUCACUCAAUCAUGAAUUCUCCUCUUGAGAGGAGUGGAUGUUUCAAAGUAAAUGUAAAUGAAAACAAUUUGGAAAAAAACUGUUAACAUUUUAUUUUGCUUGAGGGAAAAAUGUGGUUUUUUUUUUUUUGUGCUUGUGUGACAUUAACAUAGUUAAAUGCCACUAAUUGGGUGCUGGAGUUCUCAUAAUUAUGUUUUUUCAAUGUUAAUGUGAAAAAGAAAUACAUAAAUUCUAUUCUUCAAACACAUUUGAAAAAAAUAUACACUGAAAAGUACCUAUAGAAAAGUCAUUCAAUCAGAAACACUCCUAAAUGUCCCAAAUAUAUCAAUGGUUUUACAAUUAAAAGGUUUUAUACUUUCUUGUACAGAAUUAUUUUUUACUGAUUGAUUUAAACUUUUUUAGUAUUUUUGGUGUUUAUUGAAGGUUACUGUAAAUUUGAUCAAGUUUUCUUUAACAACUAAAAACAAAUGUUUUUCUGUAUGAUUUUUAAUACUCAAACUCCCCUUUCUUUGGGAUGGCACUUUCAUGCUGUAUGAAUUCACACAGGACAAUGUAUUCCACUCAAAUUCAGUGAAUUAUAGGGAAGAGAUGAAAGGUAAAACUGCAAGGGAAGUUUGUAUUUGAUUCUGAGGUUUGUGCAUAUUCCUAUUCCUCCAAAUUUAUAGAGUUAUAAGUAUAGUUUAUAAGUAUACUUGUAAAGUAAUAUUUUCGUAUUAGUGGAUAUAAUUCCAUACAAUCUUCAUUGUGUACUUCUGUAGAUAGUUGCUAUUAUACAAAAUGUUAAUUAUCUGUUCUCUAAACUGCUUCAAAGAUGGUGAGAGCAGUACCUUGUUCAAUCCCUGCUGGCACAAAUUCAAGAAAUUAGUGUAACAUUUUGCUUUCAAAAGAAAUAGCUGAAGUUCUGAUGUUGUGACUGAAAGAUGACACAAGGUGUAUAGUGGGAACAAAGGACUGACUAACAUCUUUUUAUGCAUGAGCUUCAUUGUUUGCCUUGCUCUGCGUAAUCCACUCAGUGUCAUUCUUGACUCCUCUCUAUUCACUUUUGCAGCUCAAUAAUCUUUCCAUUUUAUCAGCAAAAUCCAUCCUUUCACCCUUUAUAUCUAAAUGCUUGUGGGCAACUUUUCCUUUCUUUUGUUCUAUCUAAAAUUUGGAUACUUGAAACACCAUCUUCUCACUUGUCUAUCUUUUCAGCUGCUUCUUUUCCCAACAUCAUAUCUCUCAUCAAAUCAAAUCCUUUGCCACAUUAUCUAAUACAGACUCUUGUCUCAUGUAUAAAACUAAUAAAUUCUUUUUGUUCUUUUUUUCUUCCCAUUACUGGUUUGUUAUUUAUUGCUACUACUUUUCUUUCUCGUAACAUGCAGUCAUAGAUUUAUUUAUAAAUAUAUCUAUAUAUGUUUUGUAUAUUUACUGUGCAUUAUUUAUGUAUGUGUAUAUGUAUAUAUCAUUUACACGUUUUUAUAAUUGUAUUUAUAUAAUCUAAACAAAAUUAUGGCAUAGAAUGGCUCUAGAUGUUCUCUGACUAUACUAAAAGUAAAGGCAGCUUCAU
rnacentral:lncRNA from 7 species